GAUGAACGCUGGCGGCGUGCUUAACACAUGCAAGUCGAACGAAGCACUUUAUUUGAUUUCCUUCGGGACUGAUUAUUUUGUGACUGAGUGGCGGACGGGUGAGUAACGCGUGGGUAACCUGCCUUGUACAGGGGGAUAACAGUUGGAAACGGCUGCUAAUACCGCAUAAGCGCCCAGCAUCGCAUGAUGCAGUGUGAAAAACUCCGGUGGUAUAAGAUGGACCCGCGUUGGAUUAGCUAGUUGGUGAGGUAACGGCCCACCAAGGCGACGAUCCAUAGCCGAACUGAGAGGGUGACCGGCCACAUUGGGACUGAGACACGGCCCAAACUCCUACGGGAGGCAGCAGUGGGGAAUAUUGCACAAUGGGCGAAAGCCUGAUGCAGCGACGCCGCGUGAGCGAAGAAGUAUUUCGGUAUGUAAAGCUCUAUCAGCAGGGAAGAUAAUGACGGUACCUGACUAAGAAGCACCGGCUAAAUACGUG
rnacentral:rRNA from 1 species